rnacentral:rRNA from 1 species
UGGGGGGAGUAUUGCACAAUGGGGGGGAACCCGUGAUGCAGCGACGCCGCGUGGGUGAAGAAGCGCCUCGGCGCGUAAAGCCCUGUCAGCAGGGAAGGAAAAUGACGGUACCUGAAGAAGAAGCCCCGGCUAACUACGUGCC